rnacentral:rRNA from 1 species
ACGGAAGGCAGCAGUGGGGAAUAUUGCACAAUGGGGGAAACCCUGAUGCAGCGACGCCGCGUGAGCGAUGAAGUAUUUCGGUAUGUAAAGCUCUAUCAGCAGGGAAGAUAAUGACGGUACCUGACUAAGAAGCCCCGGCUAACUACGUGCCAGCAGCCGCGGUAAUACGUAGGGGGCAAGCGUUAUCCGGAUUUACUGGGUGUAAAGGGAGCGUAGACGGCAUGGCAAGUCUGAUGUGAAAGCCCGGGGCUAAACCCCGGGACUGCAUUGGAAACUGUCAAGCUAGAGUGCAGGAGAGGUAAGUGGAAUUCCUAGUGUAGCGGUGAAAUGCGUAGAUAUUAGGAGGAACACCAGUGGCGAAGGCGGCUUACUGGACUGUAACUGACGUUGAGGCUCGAAAGCGUGGGGAGCAAACAGGAUUAGAUACCAUGGUA